rnacentral:rRNA from 1 species
GAAUUUAAUAUAAAUUUUAAUUAAAUAAUUUUAUAAAAUGGUAUGGUUAGAAUUUAUAUUUGGUUGGGAGGAUUAUUAAAUUAAGUGAACUUUAAUAUGAAAAAACAUUGAUUUAUGAGUUUUUUGAUUAAGAUUUUUUUAAUUGAUAAUUAAUUAAAUUUUAUAAAAGAAUUAAUUACCUUAGGGAUAACAGCGUAAUAUUUUUAAAAAGAUCUUAUUGAUAAAAGUGAUUGC